AGAGUUUGAUCCUGGCUCAGGAUGAACGCUGGCGGUCUGCUUAACACAUGCAAGUCGAACGGGGUGUAACAGCCUAGUGGCGACCGGGUGCGUAACACGUACUAGACCUGCCCUCGAGCGGGGGAUAACGUAUCGAAAGAGACGCUAAUACCGCAUGCACUCGUGAAGAUUAGAAGGUCACGAGAAAACUUACGGGGUUCGAGGAGGGUGGUGCGGCCCAUCAGGUAGUUGGAGAGGUAGCGGCUCACCAAGCCAACGACGGGUAGGGGUUCUGAGAGGAAGACCCCCCACACUGGAACUGUCAGACGGUCCAGACUCCUACGGGAGGCAGCAGUAAGGGAUAUUGGUCAAUGGGCGCAAGCCUGAACCAGCAACGCCGCGUGGAGGAUGAAGGCUUUCGGGUCGUAAACUCCUUUUGGUGCUGACGAGCAAGGACGGUAGGCACCGAAUAAGUCACGGCUAACUACGUGCCAGCCGCCGCGGUAAUUC
rnacentral:rRNA from 1 species